AUUGAACGCUGGUGGCAUGCCUUACACAUGCAAGUCGAACGGCAGCACGGGUGCUUGCACCUGGUGGCGAGUGGCGAACGGGUGAGUAAUACAUCGGAACAUGUCCUGUAGUGGGGGAUAGCCCGGCGAAAGCCGGAUUAAUACCGCAUACGAUCUACGGAUGAAAGCGGGGGACCUUCGGGCCUCGCGCUAUAGGGUUGGCCGAUGGCUGAUUAGCUAGUUGGUGGGGUAAAGGCCUACCAAGGCGACGAUCAGUAGCUGGUCUGAGAGGACGACCAGCCACACUGGGACUGAGACACGGCCCAGACUCCUACGGGAGGCAGCAGUGGGGAAUUUUGGACAAUGGGCGAAAGCCUGAUCCAGCAAUGCCGCGUGUGUGAAGAAGGCCUUCGGGUUGUAAAGCACUUUUGUCCGGAAAGAAAUCCUUGGCCCUAAUACGGUCGGGGGAUGACGGUACCGGAAGAAUAAACACCGGCUAACUACGUG
rnacentral:rRNA from 1 species